CAUCACCUAUGAUUAGAUGGCCAAUGCCUCCUCCCAGAUUUAUCAACAACAAUAGAGGACAAAGAGGAGCACAUUAUCCACGCUGAUUGAUGUUUAUAAUAUUUUAGAAUAUAAUAUCUAAUUAAUGAUUAAAUUUUAGUUGUAAUUAUAAUUAAAUAUUGGUUUUAUUCUUUACUUUGUACUUAAAUAACAUUCUUUAUACAUCUUUUACUUUAUUUGAUGUAAAAUAAAGAAUGUUCUUUUACUAUUUUAGCAAAUAAUUUUAAUAAAAAGGGAAACAAAUUUUUUAA